AUUGAACGCUGGCGGCAGGCCUAACAUAUGCAAGUCGAACGAGUGGCGGACGGGUGAGUAAUGUCUGGGAAACUGCCUGAUGGAGGGGGAUAACUACUGGAAACGGCAGCUAAUACCGCCUACCAUCAGAUGUGCCCAGAUGGGAUUAGCUAGUUGGUGGGGUAACGGCUGACCAAGGCGACGAUCCCUAGCUGGUCUGAGAGGAUGACCGUCCACACUGGAACUAAGUCACGGUCCGGACUCCUACGGGUGGCAGCAGUGUAGAAUAUUGCACGAUGAGCGCAAGCCUGCUGCGGCGAUGCCGCGUGUAUGAAGAAGGCCGUCGGGUUGUAAAAUACUUUCAACGGGAUGGCGUUACCCGCAGAAGAGGCUCCGGCGAACUCCGUACCAGCAGCCGCGGUAAUAC
rnacentral:rRNA from 1 species